rnacentral:rRNA from 1 species
CCUACGGGAGGCAGCAGUGGGGAAUAUUGGACAAUGGGGGCAACCCUGAUCCAGCAAUUCUGUGUGCACGAAGAAGGUUUUCGGAUUGUAAAGUGCUUUCAGCAGGGAAGAAGAAAGUGACGGUACCUGCAGAAGAAGCGACGGCUAAAUACGUGCCAGCAGCCGCGGUAAUACGUAUGUCGCAAGCGUUAUCCGGAAUUAUUGGGCAUAAAGGGCUUCUAGGCGGCCACACAAGUCUGGGGUGAAAACUUGCGGCUCAACCGCAAGCCUGCCCUGGAAACUGUUUGGCUAGAGUGCUGGAGAGGUGGACGGAACUGCACGAGUAGAGGUGAAAUUCGUAGAUAUGUGCAGGAAUGCCGAUGAUGAAGAUAGUUCACUGGACGGUAACUGACGCUGAAGUGCGAAAGCUGGGGGAGCGAACAGGAUUAGAUACCCUGGUAGUCCCAGCCGUAAACGAUGAUUACUGGGUGUGGGCAUGAAGAGUGUCCGUGCCGAAGCUAAUGCGAUAAGUAAUCCGCCUGGGGAGUACGGCCGCAAGGCUGAAACUCAAAGGAAUUGACGG